rnacentral:rRNA from 1 species
AACGAACGCUGGCGGCAUGCCUAACACAUGCAAGUCGAACGAACCCUUCGGGGUUAGUGGCGCACGGGUGCGUAACGCGUGGGGAUCUGCCCUUUGCUUCGGAAUAACAGUUAGAAAUGACUGCUAAUACCGGAUGAUGUUGAAAGACCAAAGAUUUAUCGGCAAAGGAUGAACCCGCGUAGGAUUAGCUAGUUGGUGGGGUAAAGGCCUACCAAGGCGACGAUCCUUAGCUGGUCUGAGAGGAUGAUCAGCCACACUGGGACUGAGACACGGCCCAGACUCCUACGGGAGGCAGCAGUGGGGAAUAUUGGACAAUGGGCGAAAGCCUGAUCCAGCAAUGCCGCGUGAGUGAUGAAGGCCUUAGGGUUGUAAAGCUCUUUUACCAGGGAUGAUAAUGACAGUACCUGGAGAAUAAGCUCCGGCUAACUCCGUGCCAGCCGCCGCAGUAAGAC